UGGGGAAUUUUGGACAAUGGGCGCAAGCCUGAUCCAGCCAUGCCGCGUGCAGGAAGAAGGCCUUCGGGUUGUAAACUGCUUUUGUACGGAGCGAAAAGCCCCUGGCGAAUAACCGGGGGUCAUGACGGUACCGUAAGAAUAAGCACCGGCUAACUACGUGCCAGCAGCCGCGGUAAUACGUAGGGGCCAAGCGUUGUCCGGAUUUACUGGGUGUAAAGGGCGCGCAGGCGGGAUAAAAAGUCAGUGGUGAAAUCCUACAGCUUAACUGUAGAACUGCCUUUGAUACUUUUAUUCUUGAGGUCGGGAGAGAGAGACGGAAUUCCAGGUGUAGUGGUGAAAUACGUAGAUAUCUGGAAGAACACCAGUUGCGAAGGCGGUCUCUUGGUCCGACACUGACGCUGAGGCGCGAAAGCGUGGGGAGCAAACA
rnacentral:rRNA from 1 species